ACUCAAAUGAAUUGACGGGGGCCCGCACAAGCAGCGGAGCGUGUGGUUUAAUUCGAGGCUACACGAAGAACCUUACCUGGGCUUGACAUACGCGUGGUAGGGAACCGAAAGGGGACCGACCUUCGGGAGCGCGUACAGGUGCUGCAUGGCUGUCGUCAGCUCGUGUCGUGAGAUGUUCGGUUAAGUCCGAAAACGAGCGCAACCCUCGGGUCCAGUUACACGUGUCUGGACCGACUGCCCGUGAGAAACGGGAGGAAGGUGGGGAUGACGUCAAGUCAGCAUGGCCUUUAUGUCCAGGGCUACACACACGCUACAAUGGCCGGUACAAUGGGAUGCAAGAGCGCGAGCUGGAGCCAAUCGAGAAAGCCGGUCGUAGUUCGGAUUGCAGGCUGCAACCCGCCUGCAUGAAGUCGGAGUUGCUAGUAACCGCGCGUCAGCCAUAGUGCGGUGAAUACGUUCCCGGGCCUUGUACACACCGCCCGU
rnacentral:rRNA from 1 species